ACAGCCCCUGAAACCCAAGACCAAGAAGAGCCAUACUUCAUGACAGCUGCCAUCUGGGAGGAAUCCUAUGACAUUUGUGAUUCAAGAAAUUGAACCCAAAAUUUCAACAGCUGAUAUGCAGAUGCAAAAGACUGCUGUUUUCCUGAGAUAAGAAAUACUCCAAACCUAACAUUCUGAAGGAGUUCAGAAUACACACCCAGGACUGCCAUACCCCCCAAAGCGCUACCUCCUGGCAGAUUGUCUCUAUGGUAAACCCUGUCACACUAGAAAUGUUAGGAAGCAGAACCCAAACUACAGCACAAGCACCUGUAAGGAAAAGGUACCUCUGUUCAUGAGAUAGAACCCUUUCUGUUCCCUUCAGCCCCUGCAGCUGUUCUCAUGCUUUCAGGGCACUUGAUUGGUUCAUUCCUAGAUAAAACUUAUGUCUUUAUUUUCAAAGCUAUUACCCAUCUCUAGUCAGAGUUUCCUACAUUCCUGUAUACAAAUAAGUGGAGAGAGAGAGGGUUUCUUUCCAAAUGAAUUUAGAGAUAAAUUCAUUUUCUUUGCCAAUACCUAUAAAAAUGAAAACCUUGAACGAUUUUAGUAUUCUACACCCAUCCCUCCCUGUGAAAUUUAUGGCAGUUUUGGGUCCCUCUGGGAGACGACAUCCAGCAUGUCAUGCUGGACUGUUCUAGAGAGUAAUUUUCAAAUGUAAGCUUAGCAAAGUUUGAAUUGACUUGAACAGAGAUAAAAACUACAAGUGAACACCUACACCUGCCUACAAAGAGCUAACAAGCCCCUGGCAGCUGCCAGCAUCAAAGCACAGCGGAUGUCUCUAAUACAGGUCUCUGUAUCUUCUUGGACAGCACCGAGCUCGAGGACAAGGAUACGAGAGUCUUUCCCUGCCGGACGGAGAGAACCAGGAAAAAAGUUAAAAUAAGAACAGGGCAGUUUGAAAUUCAUACUUGCAACGAGAGGCAGCGCCUAACCAACAGAACAAAAGUAAACGAAGCAUGAUACCUCCCUGGGGACAGAAGACUUACAAACUCUCCAGGAUUUACAAUUCUAGCGACCAACCCCUUCAGGACAGCAGCCAAGUGUCCCAUGGGGUGGUGCUGCACCAAAGAACCAUCUGAGAGGUUCCAAAGAGUGAAAUGCACAAUAUUUUGCAAAGACAAAAAAUCCUGCAAAAUAACAAAAAUACAAUAGAUGUAAACUACAGGGCAAGAGUACAAGUGUUACCUUUGGCAGCUGGAACCAUCCAGGUGAGCACCUGAUAACUGGAUCCUCACCAGAGUUUGAACCCUUCAGGACACAGAAGGGUUUUCCCCAGAAAUUUCACAAACUGAGUUUUGACAGAAGCACGCUCGCCGGAUCCUCAGAAACGUCACCCAUUCUCCAGGUGUCUGGAGAGAACUGCAAAUGGCUCUCACGUAGUUGGAGCUGGUUCUAUAAGGUCUCAGGGUGAAUUUCACCAGAUGCAACUGAAUUGGGCAACUCCCAGUGAGACAGAAGGAACCCAAAGCUUGUUUUACCCAAACCUUGGGUAAGCACAGCUCCAGCAAAUACUGAGGAAACAGACAUAACAGGGUAAAAAUAAUAAAACUAUUGCUUUUUCUUUAAUCUUGCCUUUUUUUUUUUUAUUCAGAUGAGCAAAACAAUGAAGGAGAAGGUGAAAAACUCACCAUUACUGAACAUUUCAUCAUCUGUAAGCUGAGCAUCCUUAGCAUAGAGGACUCCAGAGUUAAAAUUCACUGAUCCCUGGGAAAUAAAACCAAAUAUAUGACAAACAGUCAAACAGAAGGCAUAAAAAUUUGUUUCCUCUACGGACUUUCAAGUAUGUAUCUUUGUAUAUAUCCUACACAUUACAACAUACACUUUAUACCAUCUCCUAAUAUAUAAUAAUUUACCUUUAAACUUUGAUAGUAUAGUGUGGAGAAAUGGCUCCAUGACAGAGGUCACGCAGACAUUCGCUCGUUAGUCGACCAGGAGCUGGGAAAGUACCGAACACAGGUAUUUUUGAGUUUUGCACCUGCAAGAUAGCGUGUGCCUGGGCCUAGCUGGGUAGGAUAACAAGUAGACAGAGAGACGUGGGAAAUAGGGAAUGUAGGCCCAAAGGAAUGAGGAAGAGUUGAUGGUAUAGUUUAACCAAUAGAUCGCUUGGCUUACAGAAUAUUCAUAAGCUUAUUAUGUGCUAUAUAAGUGUCUGAUACUCUCUGCAAUAAACAUAGCUUGCUGAUCUCA